GUAGGGUGCGAGCGUUAAUCGGAAUUACUGGGCGUAAAGCGUGCGUAGGCGGUUCUCCAAGUCCGUUGUGAAAGCCCCGGGCUUAACCUGGGAAUGGCAGUGGAAACUAGGGGACUUGAAUCUGGCAGAGGGGGGUGGAAUUCCACGUGUAGCAGUGAAAUGCGUAGAGAUGUGGAGGAACACCGAUGGCGAAGGCAGCCCCCUGGGCUGAGAUUGACGCUGAGUGCACGAAAGCGUGGGGAGCAAACAGGAUUAGAUACCCUGGUAGUCCACGCCCUAAACGAUGGCAACUAGGUGUUGGGGAAGCGAUUUCCUAGUACCGCAGCUAACGCGUGAAGUUGCCCGCCUGGGGAGUACGGUCGCAAGAUUA
rnacentral:rRNA from 1 species